rnacentral:lncRNA from 1 species
CAGAAAGGGGCAAUGGGUAUUGGAAAAUUAAUAAUUCAGUUUUGCAAGAUAAAGAUUACCAAGAACUGAUUAAUAAUUUGAUAGAUACAUAUGUUUUCGAAAAAGAAACCCUAGAUUGUAGAUUAAUAUGGGAUGGUUUUAAAAUCGCGAUAAGGGAAGUAACAACAAAUUAUUGUAAAAAUAAAGCAAAGUUAACCAAGGGGCGAAGACUUACUUUGGAAAAAGACCUGGAAGAAAAAAUUAAAAUAAGAGACGAGACGCACAUAGAUGAUAAUGAAAUAGAAAAAGAAAUAAAUGAUAUUGAAGAAGAGCUAGGUAAAAUAUACGAAGAAAAGGCGAAAGGAGCUCAAGUGAGAUCUAGA